GAUGAACGCUGGCGGCGUGCCUAAUACAUGCAAGUCGAGCGAAUGGAUUAAGAGCUUGCUCUUAUGAAGUUAGCGGCGGACGGGUGAGUAACACGUGGGUAACCUGCCCAUAAGACUGGGAUAACUCCGGGAAACCGGGGCUAAUACCGGAUAACAUUUUGAACCGCAUGGUUCGAAAUUGAAAGGCGGCUUCGGCUGUCACUUAUGGAUGGACCCGCGUCGCAUUAGCUAGUUGGUGAGGUAACGGCUCACCAAGGCAACGAUGCGUAGCCGACCGGAGAGGGUGAUCGGCCACCCUGGGACUGAGACACGGCCCAGACUCCUACGGGAGGCAGCAGUAGGGAAUCUUCCGCAAUGGACGAAAGUCUGACGGAGCAACGCCGCGUGAGUGAUGAAGGCUUUCGGGUCGUAAAACUCUGCUGUUAGGGAAGAACAAGUGCUAGUUGAAUAAGCUGGCACCUUGACGGUACCUAACCAGAAAGCCACGGCUAACUACGUGCCAGCCGCCGCAGUAA
rnacentral:rRNA from 1 species